UACAUUCUUUUGAUUAUACAAAAUGGUACCCUCUAGACCAACUCAGUACGAUCUAACUAGCUCACGACACCCUUAUUGCGAACUUGCGCCUCGCUAGAGAUGUCAACGGGUCGGAUUCAGGGCGGAUUUUCAAAAGCCCGAACCCGAACCUGAUUCCAAAGCCGAGAACCAAACGCGAAGCCGAACCUGACAGAUUUUAAGAAUCCAUAUCCAAACCCGAACCCGACCAAAAAUCCGAAACCCGAAUCCAAACCCGAACCCGAAAAUUUGAACCCGAAACAAUUAUUUCUUUUUUCAAUAUUUCAAAAUAUAUUAUAUUAAAUCUAAAAUUUUAAAAUACAAGUUCAAAUAUAACAUCAAUUUAUAUAUAUAUAUAUAUAUA
rnacentral:lncRNA from 1 species